GCUCAAUAAUAGCAACCGGGGAAGUGUGCUUCUCCUCAAUGUGUCCGUAAUCAUAGGCUAUCUAACAUGCAGCAAUCCCCCAUUAAUACUACCUCCCACCUGGCUUAACAACUAGGAUAUGUUUCUUCUCCUUUGCGAUAGAGGAAAUCUUUUUCUCCUUGUCGGGGCACACCCCCUCUCCUCGUGGGGGGGGGGUCUNCCCCGGAGGGGUGAGUACCCCCUGUGCCUCUAGCUUCAGGUCGGGGAUAACAGUUGGAAACGACUGCUAAUACCGGAUGUGCCGAGAGGUAAAAGGCUUGCUGCCUGAAGAUGAGCUCGCGUCUGAUUAGCUAGUUGGUGUGGUAAGAGCGCACCAAGGCGACGAUCAGUAGCUGGUCUGAGAGGAUGAUCAGCCACACUGGGACUGAGACACGGCCCAGACUCCUACGGGAGGCAGCAGUGGGGAAUUUUCCGCAAUGGGCGAAAGCCUGACGGAGCAAUACCGCGUGAGGGAGGAAGGCUCUUGGGUUGUAAACCUCUUUUCUCAAGGAAUAAGAAAGUGAAGGUACUUGAGGAAUUAGCAUCGGCUAACUCCGUGCCAGCAGCCGCGGUAAUACGGAGGAUGCAAGCGUUAUCCGGAAUGAUUGGGCGUAAAGCGUCCGCAGGUGGCUAUGUAAGUCUGCUGUUAAAGAGCAAAGCUUAACUUUGUAAAAGCAGUGGAAACUACAUAGCUAGAGUGCGUUCGGGGCAGAGGGAAUUCCUGGUGUAGCGGUGAAAUGCGUAAAGGUCAGGAAGAACAUCCGGUGCGGAGGCAGUGGUUAGGCCACCACUGUCAUUGGAUAGAGCUCGCUUNNNGGGGUUUU
rnacentral:rRNA from 1 species